ensembl:misc_RNA Metazoa_SRP Metazoan signal recognition particle RNA
GCCGGGCACGGUGGCACGUGCCUGUAGUCCCAGCUACUCGGGAGGCUGAGGCUGGAGGAUCGCUUGAGCCCAGGAGUUCUGGGCUGCAGUGCGCUGUGCCAAUUGGGUGUCCGCACUAAGUUAGGCAUCAAUAUGGUGACCUCCCGGGAGCAGGGGACCACCAGGUUGCCUAAGGAGGGGUGAACCGGCCCAGGUCGGAAACGGAGCAGGUGAAAACUCCCUUGCUCAUCAGUAGUGGGACCACGUCUGUGAAUAGCCACUGCACUUCAGCCUGGGCAACAUAUCGAGACCCCAUCUCUU